GACGAACGCUGGCGGCGUGCCUAAUACAUGCAAGUCGAGCGAGUCUGCCUUGAAGAUCGGAGUGCUUGCACUCUGUGAAACAAGAUACAGGCUAGCGGCGGACGGGUGAGUAACACGUGGGUAACCUGCCCAAGAGAUCGGGAUAACACCUGGAAACAGAUGCUAAUACCGGAUAACAACAGAUGAUGCCUAUCAACUGUUUAAAAGAUGGUUCUGCUAUCCCUCUUGGAUGGACCUGCGGUGCAUUAGCUAGUUGGUAGGGUAACGGCCUACCAAGGCGAUGAUGCAUAGCCGAGUUGAGGGACUGAACGGCCACAUUGGGACUGAGACACGGCCCAAACUCCUACGGGAGGCAGCAGUAGGGAAUCUUCCACAAUGGACGCAAGUCUGAUGGAGCAACGCCGCGUGAGUGAAGAAGGGUUUCGGCUCGUAAAGCUCUGUUGUUGGUGAAGAAGGACAGGGGUAGUAACUGACCUUUGUUUGACGGUAAUCAAUUAGAAAGUCACGGCUAACUACGUG
rnacentral:rRNA from 1 species